rnacentral:rRNA from 1 species
UACAGGGGGGGCAAGCGUUGUUCGGAAUUACUGGGCGUAAAGGGUCUGUAGGUGGCUUGCUAAGUCAGACGUGAAAUCCCUCAGCUUAACUGGGGAACUGCGUCUGAUACUGGCGAGCUUGAGUGCAGGAGAGGAACGCGGAAUUCCAGGUGUAGCGGAUGAAAUGCGUAGAUAUCUGGAGGAACACCGGUGGCGAAGGCGGCAUUCUGGACUGCAACUGACACUGAGAGACGAAAGCCAGGGGAGCAAACGGGG